UGGUACUGCGGAGACAUUACUGAUUUGCUUAAUUGCACCACAUGUGUUUUUUAUUGAACAAAUUUCUUUGGUGGCGGGAGCAAUCCUACCGCCAGAGGUUAUAACUAAACCAAACUUUUUAUUUACAGUCAAACUUGAUUUAUUAUUACAAUAGUCAAAACUUUCAACAACGGAUCUCUUGGUUCUCGCAUCGAUGAAGAACGCAGCGAAAUGCGAUACGUAAUAUGAAUUGCAGAUAUUCGUGAAUCAUCGAAUCUUUGAACGCACAUUGCGCCCUUUGGUAUUCCAAAGGGCAUGCCUGUUUGAGCGUCAUUUCUCCCUCAAACCCCCGGGUUUGGUGUUGAGCAAUACGCUAGGUUUGUUUGAAAGAAUUUAACGUGGAAACUUAUUUUAAGCGACUUAGGUUUAUCCAAAAACGCUUAUUUUGCUAGUGGCCACCACAAUUUAUUUCAUAACUUUGACCUCAAAUCAGGUAGGACUACCCGCUGAACUUAAGCAUAUCAAUAGCCCGGAGGAA
rnacentral:rRNA from 1 species